AGAGUUUGAUCCUGGCUCAGGAUGAACGCUAGCGGCAGGCUUAACACAUGCAAGUCGAGGGGUAACAGGGAUUGCUUGCAAUCCGCUGACGACCGGCGCACGGGUGCGUAACGCGUAUGCAACCUACCUUCUACAGGGGGAUAGUCAAUAGAAAUGUUGAAUAAUACCCCAUACGAUCUUUGAAUAGCAUUAUUUAAAGAAGAAAGCUCCGGCGGUAGAAGAUGGGCAUGCGUCCUAUUAGUUAGUUGGUAAGGUAACGGCUUACCAAGACUUCGAUAGGUAGGGGCCCUGAGAGGGGGAUCCCCCACACUGGUACUGAGACACGGACCAGACUCCUACGGGAGGCAGCAGUGAGGAAUAUUGGACAAUGGAGGCAACUCUGAUCCAGCCAUGCCGCGUGCAGGAAGACUGCCCUAUGGGUUGUAAACUGCUUUUAUACAGGAAGAAACCUACUUACGUGUAAGUAGCUGACGGUACUGUAAGAAUAAGGAUCGGCUAACUCCGUGCCAGCAGCCGCGGUAAUACGGAGGAUCCAAGCGUUAUCCGGAAUCAUUGGGUUUAAAGGGUCCGUAGGCGGUCUUUUAAGUCAGAGGUGAAAUCCUACAGCUCAACUGUAGAAUUGCCUUUGAUACUGAAGGACUUGAGUUAUUGUGAAGUAGUUAGAAUGUGUGGUGUAGCGGUGAAAUGCAUAGAGAUCACACAGAAUACCGAUUGCGAAGGCAGAUUACUAACAAUAUACUGACGCUGAGGGACGAAAGCGUGGGUAGCGAACAGGAUUAGAUACCCUGGUAGUCCACGCCGUAAACGAUGUAUACUCGUUGCUAGCGAUACACAGUUAGUGACCAAGCGAAAGUAUUAAGUAUACCACCUGGGGAGUACGAUCGCAAGAUUGAAACUCAAAGGAAUUGACGGGGGCCCG
rnacentral:rRNA from 1 species